rnacentral:rRNA from 1 species
AGAGUUUGAUCAUGGCUCAGAACAACGCUGGCGGCAUGCCUAACACAUGCAAGUCGAACGAAGUCUUCGGACUUAGUGGCGCACGGGUGCGUAACGCGUGGGAAUCUGCCCUUGGGUGCGGAAUAACUUCUCGAAAGGGAUGCUAAUACCGCAUAAUGUCGUAAGACCAAAGAUUUAUCGCCCAAGGAUGAGCCCGCGUAAGAUUAGCUAGUUGGUGGGGUAAAAGCCUACCAAGGCGACGAUCUUUAGCUGGUCUGAGAGGAUGAUCAGCCACACUGGGACUGAGACACGGCCCAGACUCCUACGGGAGGCAGCAGUGGGGAAUAUUGGACAAUGGGCGAAAGCCUGAUCCAGCAAUGCCGCGUGAGUGAUGAAGGCCCUAGGGUUGUAAAGCUCUUUUACCAGGGAUGAUAAUGACAGUACCUGGAGAAUAAGCUCCGGCUAACUCCGUG